UGUGAACCUGCGGAAGGAUCAUUAUUGAAAUAAACUGAUGGGUUGUUGCUGGUUCUCUAGGGAGCAUGUGCACGCCUUGUCAUCUUUAUAUCUCCACCUGUGCACCUUUUGUAGACCUUCUAGGUCUAUGUUGCUUUUUCAUUUACCCCAAUGUAUGUUAAUAGAAUGUUGUGACUAUGAAAACUAUACAACUUUCAGCAACGGAUCUCUUGGCUCUCGCAUCGAUGAAGAACGCAGCGAAAUGCGAUAAGUAAUGUGAAUUGCAGAAUUCAGUGAAUCAUCGAAUCUUUGAACGCACCUUGCGCUCCUUGGUAUUCCGAGGAGCAUGCCUGUUUGAGUGUCAUUAAUAUAUAUCAACCUUCUCAUUGCUGAGUGGUUUGGAUGUGGGGGUUUGCUGGCCUCUUAAAUGAGUUCAGCUCUCCUGAAAUGCAUUAGCAGAACAACCCUGUUCAUUGGCGUGAUAACUAUCUACGCUAUUGAAUGUGAGGGACAGUUCAGCUUUCUAAUAGUCCUUGGACAACUCAUCAUUUAUGUGACCUCAAAUCAGGUAGGACUACCCGCUGAACUUAA
rnacentral:rRNA from 1 species